AGUGGCGCGUAUGAAUCCGAGUGGAGUAACAAUUUUCGGUAUUAAGCUUUUCAUUUCCUCAAUUAUCAGACACUGUCAUAUAUGAGUUAGUUGAUUUUCUGAAGUGAAAGUUCAUCUCCUCUCUCGAAAAGGUUCCUCUGAAUUUGUGCAUCAGAUAAACCCCCAAGAAGAUAAUGACACGAAAAGAACACGCAACAGGCGUUCUCCCGUAAGAACACAUGUUAAACCGCGGCCGAGUUUCAUCUACUGGCGUGACGUCACGGGAACGUAGUUACAGCCUCUUCAUUCUCGUAGGCAACGGUCUAGAUUGAACAACGACUACUGAGUUGACAACCUAAAAGAGCAAUAUCGAUUGUGGUGCUAAGAGAACACCAUAAAAUACACAAAUCAGGUCGCUCAAAAAAAUAGCAACACAACUCAAUAAAAAAUUUAAAAAAUUGGCAAAUAAAGCUAAUCUAUUACAACACUAGAAGACAGGAUGUUUUGAGCCGUCACAAGUUCAGUGAGUAGUUGUUUCAUAAGAACAGGAACCAAAUUGGUAGGCGAUUUUAUAAACAUUUUCAUUGUUUAUUACUAUUGUAAAUCAGCCUAAUACUCCGGCUUGUCCUCGAGUGUUUUAAUAUUUUAACGGCUUCUAUUUUUUCGUGUAAAUUAGAAGUUAGUGCCUGCAAAAUAAUUUAUUCCGUCGUCGUAGUUAAUUGAAAAUCAGUAGUGUGCACGAAUGAAAAUGGAAUCACAAAAAUUUUCAAACCAACUAAACUUUUGGCCCGAUUUCAUGAAGACUUUUCCCCCAUCUGGAUACAACCACAAUUUCCCAUCGAGCGUCUCCUUUGGGUCCUAAAAAAUACAUCACAAUUAAAAUGAAACAAAUGAUAAAGAGAUCUCUACGUGAAUGCUGAUUGACGACUCAAGACUUUUUCUAAAACUCAAA